CCUGACUGCUAUCGGAAUGAUACUAAGCCAUGUGAGUCAUUGUAGCAAUACAAGGCAGACGGCUCAGUAACACGUAGCCAAUCUAACCUAUGGACGGGGAUAACCUCGGGAAACUGAGGAUAAACCCCGAUAGAUCAUUAUGCCUGGAAAGGUUUAUGGUCCAAAUGAUUCGUCGCCGUAGGAUGAGACUGCGGCCUAUCAGCUUGUUGGUGAGGUAAUGGCCCACCAAGGCUAUUACAGGUACGGGCUCUGAGAGGAGAAGCCCGGAGAUGGGUACUGAGACACGGACCCAGGCCCUAUGGGGCGCAGCAGGCGAGAAACCUUUGCAAUGUGCGCAAGCACGACAAGGUUAAUCCGAGUGUUUCCUGCUAAAGGAAUCCUUUGUUAGUCCUAAAAACACUAGUGAAUAAGGGGUGGGCAAGUUCUGGUGUCAGCCGCCGCGGUAAAACCAGCACCUCAAGUGGUCAGGAGGAUUAUUGGGCCUAAAGCAUCCGUAGCUUGCUCUGUAAGUUUCCGGUUAAAUCCAUUAGCUCAACUAAUGGGCUGCCGGAAAAACUGCAAAGCUAGGAAGUGGGAGAGGUAGACGGUACUCGGUAGGAAGGGGUAAAAUCCUUUGAUCUAUUGAUGACCACCUGUGGCGAAGGCGGUCUACCAGAACACGUUCGACAGUGAGGGAUGAAAGCUGGGGGAGCAAACCGGAUUAGAUACCCGGGUAGUCCCAGCUGUAAACGAUGCAGACUCGGUGAUGCCCUGGCUUGUGGCCAGUGUAAUGCCGCAGGGAAGCCGUUAAGUUUGCCGCCUGGGAAGUACGUACGCAAGUAUGAAACUUAAAGGAAUUGGCGGGGGAGCACCACAAGGGGUGAAGCCUGCGGUUC
rnacentral:rRNA from 1 species